rnacentral:rRNA from 1 species
UACGGAGGGGGCGAGCGUUGUCCGGAAUUAUUGGGCGUAAAGAGCUCGUAGGCGGCUUGUCACGUCGAUUGUGAAAGCUCGGGGCUUAACCCCGAGUCUGCAGUCGAUACGGGCUAGCUAGAGUGUGGUAGGGGAGACCGGAAUUCCUGGUGUAGCGGUGAAAUGCGCAGAUAUCAGGAGGAACACCGGUGGCGAAGGCGGAUCUCUGGGCCAUUACUGACGCUGAGGAGCGAAAGCGUGGGGAGCGAACAGG